GGCCCGGUAGCUCAGUUGAAUAGAGUGUCGGAUUCCGGUUCCGAAGGUCAAGGGUUUGAGCCCCUUCCGGGUCA
rnacentral:tRNA from 1 species